UGGGGAAUUUUGGACAAUGGGCGCAAGCCUGAUCCAGCAAUGCCGCGUGCAGGAUGAAGGCCUUCGGGUUGUAAACUGCUUUUGUACGGAACGAAAAAGCUCUCUCUAAUACAGGGGGUGAAUGACGGUACCGUAAGAAUAAGCACCGGCUAACUACGUGCCAGCAGCCGCGGUAAUACGUAGGGUGCAAGCGUUAAUCGGAAUUACUGGGCGUAAAGCGUGCGCAGGCGGUUUUGUAAGACAGAGGUGAAAUCCCCGGGCUCAACCUGGGAACUGCCUUUGUGACUGCAAAGCUGGAGUGCGGCAGAGGGUGAUGGAAUUCCGCGUGUAGCAGUGAAAUGCGUAGAUAUGCGGAGGAACACCGAUGGCGAAGGCAAUCCCCUGGGCCUGCACUGACGCUCAUGCACGAAAGCGUGGGGAGCAAACA
rnacentral:rRNA from 1 species